rnacentral:rRNA from 1 species
CCUACGGGAGGCAGCAGUGGGGAAUAUUGGACAAUGGGCGAAAGCCUGAUCCAGCAAUGCCGCGUGAGUGAUGAAGGCCUUAGGGUUGUAAAGCUCUUUUACUAGGGAUGAUAAUGACAGUACCUAGAGAAUAAGCCCCGGCUAACUCCGUGCCAGCAGCCGCGGUAAUACGGAGGGGGCUAGCGUUGUUCGGAAUUACUGGGCGUAAAGAGUACGUAGGCGGUUAUUCAAGUCAGAGGUGAAAGCCUGGAGCUCAACUCCAGAACUGCCUUUGAAACUAGAUAGCUAGAAUCAUGGAGAGGUUAGUGGAAUUCCGAGUGUAGAGGUGAAAUUCGUAGAUAUUCGGAAGAACACCAGUGGCGAAGGCGACUAACUGGACAUGUAUUGACGCUGAGGUACGAAAGCGUGGGGAGCAAACAGGAUUAGAUACCCUGGUAGUCCACGCCGUAAACGAUGAUAACUAGCUGUUCGGGCUCUCAGAGCUUGAGUGGCGCAGCUAACGCAUUAAGUUAUCCGCCUGGGGAGUACGGUCGCAAGAUUAAAACUCAAAUGAAUUGACGG